GAGAGUGUAGCUCAGUGGUAGAGCACUAGCCUAGCAUGCAUGAGGCUCUGGGUUCCAUCCCAGCACCA
rnacentral:tRNA from 1 species